CUACGCAAUGGCUCACUAAUGUGGUCCAUACG
rnacentral:scRNA from 1 species